AACGCGAAGAACCUUACCAACCCUUGACAUGGCAGUGACCGUUCCAGAGAUGGUCCUUUCUCGCAAGAGACACUGCACACAGGUGCUGCAUGGCUGUCGUCAGCUCGUGUCGUGAGAUGUUCGGUUAAGUCCGGCAACGAGCGCAACCCACGCCUUCAGUUGCCAGCAGUUCGGCUGGGCACUCUGAAGGAACUGCCGGUGAUAAGCCGGAGGAAGGUGUGGAUGACGUCAAGUCCUCAUGGCCCUUACGGGUUGGGCUACACACGUGCUACAAUGGUGGUGACAAUGGGUUAAUCCCAAAAAGCCAUCUCAGUUCGGAUUGUCGUCUGCAACUCGGCGGCAUGAAGUCGGAAUCGCUAGUAAUCGCGUAACAGCAUGACGCGGUGAAUACGUUCCCGGGUCUUGUACACACCG
rnacentral:rRNA from 1 species